GAUGAACGCUGGCGGCGUGCCUAAUACAUGCAAGUCGAGCGAACAGAUAAGGAGCUUGCUCCUUUGACGUUAGCGGCGGACGGGUGAGUAACACGUGGGUAACCUACCUAUAAGACUGGAAUAACUCCGGGAAACCGGGGCUAAUGCCGGAUAACAUGUUGAACCGCAUGGUUCUACAGUGAAAGGCGGCUUUGCUGUCACUUAUAGAUGGACCCGCGCCGUAUUAGCUAGUUGGUGAGGUAACGGCUCACCAAGGCAACGAUACGUAGCCGACCUGAGAGGGUGAUCGGCCACACUGGAACUGAGACACGGUCCAGACUCCUAAGGGAGGCAGCAGUAGGGAAUCUUCCGCAAUGGGCGAAAGCCUGACGGAGCAACGCCGCGUGAGUGAUGAAGGUCUUCGGAUCGUAAAACUCUGUUAUUAGGGAAGAACAAAUGCGUAAGUAACUGUGCGCGUCUUGACGGUACCUAAUCAGAAAGCCACGGCUAACUACGUG
rnacentral:rRNA from 1 species